rnacentral:rRNA from 1 species
AUUGAACGCUGGCGGCAGGCCUAACACAUGCAAGUCGACCGAUUGGCGGACGGGUGAGUACUGUCUGGGCCACUGCCUGCUGGAGGGGGAUAACUACUGGAAACGGUAGCUAAUACCGCAUACCAUCUGAUGUGCCCCGAUGGGAUUAGCUAGUCGGUGGGGUAAAGGCUCACCUCGGAGACGAUCCGUAGAUGGUCUGAGAGGAUGACCAGCCACACUGGAACUGAGACACGGGCCAGACUCCUACGGGAGGCAGCAGUGGGGAAGAGUGGACAAUGGGCGCAAGCCGGAUGCAGCCAGGCAGCGUGUAUGAAGAAGGCCUUCGGGUUGUAAAGUACUUGCGGCGGGGAGGCGUUACCCGCAGAAGAAGCACCGGCUAACUCCGUGCCAGCAGCCGCGGUAAUUC